rnacentral:lncRNA from 1 species
CCUUUUUUACUUAAAGGACCAUAAAUAGAUAAAAGAAAUUACUAAAAGCCCAUAAAUACAAAAAGCCCAAACAUGUGAGUCGCACUAAAGUUAAAAAGAUUAGUAACCAUUACACAUUGACCCACGUGAGGGUCCGAAGGAGAUUCUCACCAUUAAUGACGACUUGACUUCCUUUUCGCCCAACAACGAAACAAGCUGUACAAAAGCCACCAGAACUAGAAAGAGGCGAAUUGCCAACCAGACUUUCGGGUACAAAGGACUCAAGACGGGGGACUAUCACAAGAAACCAGCGGUUUUUUGUCAGAAACAUCCUAUCAUCUCGCCUAUGAACCAGUCCAGAUCAGCAAAUCAGUAGCUGACUUUGGAUAGCAUCCAAAUAACCUCUUUCAGACUUCAUCAUUACAGCUUUCUCCUUUCCUAUAAAUAAAGAGCCUCCAC